rnacentral:rRNA from 1 species
GAUGAACGCUAGCGGCAGGCCUAACACAUGCAAGUCGAGGGGUAACAGAAAAGCUUGCUUUUGCUGACGACCGGCGCACGGGUGCGUAACGCGUAUGCAACCUACCUCAUACUGGAGGAUAGCCCCUGGAAACGGGGAUUAAUACUCCAUAGUAUCACAAUUUCGCAUGUUAUUGUGAUUAAAGUUAUUCGGUAUGAGAUGGGCAUGCGUCCCAUUAGCUUGUUGGUGAGGUAACGGCUCACCAAGGCAACGAUGGGUAGGGGGCCUGAGAGGGUGGUCCCCCACACUGGUACUGAGACACGGACCAGACUCCUACGGGAGGCAGCAGUGAGGAAUAUUGGUCAAUGGAGGAAACUCUGAACCAGCCAUGCCGCGUGAAGGAUGACGGCCCUAUGGGUUGUAAACUUCUUUUAUAGAGGAAGAAACUUGUCUACGUGUAGACAACUGACGGUACUCUACGAAUAAGGAUCGGCUAACUCCGUGCCAGA